rnacentral:rRNA from 1 species
UACAGAGGUCUCAAGCGUUGUUCGGAUUCAUUGGGCGUAAAGGGUGCGUAGGCGGCGCGGUAAGUCGGGUGUGAAAUCUUGGAGCUUAACUCCGAAACUGCAUUCGAUACUGCCGUGCUUGAGGACUGGAGAGGAGACUGGAAUUUACGGUGUAGCGGUGAAAUGCGUAGAUAUCGUAAGGAAGACCAGUGGCGAAGGCGGGUCUCUGGACAGUUCCUGACGCUGAAGCACGAAGGCCAGGGGAGCAAAACGGG